AAAUUGAAGAGUUUGAUCAUGGCUCAGAUUGAACGCUGGCGGCAGGCCUAACACAUGCAAGUCGAACGGUAACAGGAAGCAGCUUGCUGCUUCGCUGACGAGUGGCGGACGGGUGAGUAAUGUCUGGGAAACUGCCUGAUGGAGGGGGAUAACUACUGGAAACGGUGGCUAAUACCGCAUAACGUCGCAAGACCAAAGAGGGGGACCUUCGGGCCUCUUGCCAUCAGAUGUGCCCAGAUGGGAUUAGCUUGUUGGUGAGGUAACGGCUCACCAAGGCGACGAUCCCUAGCUGGUCUGAGAGGAUGACCAGCCACACUGGAACUGAGACACGGUCCAGACUCCUACGGGAGGCAGCAGUGGGGAAUAUUGCACAAUGGGCGCAAGCCUGAUGCAGCCAUGCCGCGUGUAUGAAGAAGGCCUUAGGGUUGUAAAGUACUUUCAG
rnacentral:rRNA from 1 species